CCCGGCCUGGCCAUGGAGGCAAGGCCCAGGAGGGGGGAAAGAAAGGGGGGGCAGAAGUGGCAGUGGGGAGGAGAGGUGGCUGGGCCCAGAAGCAGAGACUGGAGCAGAAGCCUGAGGGGAGAGAUGAAAGUGUGAAAGUUAAAUGGCAUCAAAAAUCAGGUAAAGCAAUCCUAAGGUGCUUCAGGAAUCAUGAGCCAAUGAUGCACCUUGAAAGAAAGUAUAGGGAGAAGGGAAGCUCUUCCAAGUUUCAGGAGCAACUUGAGAAAACAUCACAAUAAACAAGUGAGAGGGGAGCGUGUAACCUAUGAAGCUGUGUAGAAGAAAAGAUCAAGCAGGGAUCAAACUUGAGAAAAGAGUAAACUAGCAGGACCAAAGAGCAGCCGAAAUUCUUAGUCUUCAAGUUGCCCAGAAUUGGUAUACAAGUUUCAACAGACUUGUUGCACUUCACUAUGCACAGGACAAAACACAAUGGAUGACCUGUUCCUAGAUAUACCACCGUUAACAGAAAGUUCAGGGGAUAUAACACGGGGCAAAGAACCUACAGCCCAGAAUUCUGCUGAUGUCACAGACCAAGUGUGCCUUCUGAGAUGCAAUGCCAGACUAAGCCCUAACAGCUGACCCCAGCCUGGUUGCAGUUAGCUGAUCUCCUGCCUCUACAAAACCCUUGCCUGGUAGUCCAAGCAACCUGUCCGAGCAGCUGAACCAACUUGCAACAAUUCUGCUUGAGUGACUAGGUACUCAGCCCCAGCCCCAACUUAUUUUUGCCUCUGAUCCUCUACUUGACUGCCGUCUGGUAACCAACCCUGUCCUGUGUUCAACUGCUCCUCAUGCCCGCUAGAACCACACCUCUCUAGCCAUGUUGUGAAAAAUAAACCUAGUCCAGAAAA